AAACAAAAUUAAGAAACCCUAAACUAAACACUCAAUCACUUAAAAAAAAAUCAAAACAAAACAAAACAAAACUUCCUUCCCUUCUCAUUCGGCUGAACCAAAAAAAAGGGCUCAUCAUUCAAUCGUCCCUUUUGCUUCUCUCCUUGGCCGAUCAUGGGUUUCAUCGGCGUCCCAUGCGCCUCCACCUAUCGUGGCUCAUGGCUCAGGAACAAAGGAGACGAGAGGCAUCCCUUGGUCCAAAUCCAUGCCGUUGAAAGGGUCUCCGAUGGUCGAAACCGCGGGUAGGUUCCCUUCCCCGACCUCAAAAAGGUCUUCAAGGAGGUGAUGGGAGCAGGUGGAGGAGAGGCGGUGCAAGUGGAGGCACCUAGGGUUUGCUGCUUGUUUUUUUCUGCUGAUGGUUUGGGCUAGGGUAAGUUGGGUAUUAAUGGGCCCGGGUAAAUUUGGGUACUUACAACCACAUUUGCUCCGAUCUUCUUAUUUGCCUUCUUCCAGUACACAUCAUUCACUUACUUAUAACGCUUCCUCUCUCCAUCAAAACAACUCUUUAUAAUUCCAA